CCUACGGGAGGCAGCAGUGGGGAAUAUUGGACAAUGGGCGAAAGCCUGAUCCAGCCAUGCCGCGUGUGUGAAGAAGGCCUUCGGGUUGUAAAGCACUUUCAGUGGGGAAGAAAGCCUUGGGGCUAAUACCCUCGAGGAAGGACAUCACCCACAGAAGAAGCACCGGCUAACUCCGUGCCAGCAGCCGCGGUAAUACGGAGGGUGCGAGCGUUAAUCGGAAUUACUGGGCGUAAAGCGCGCGUAGGCGGUCUGAUAAGCCGGUUGUGAAAGCCCCGGGCUCAACCUGGGAACGGCAUCCGGAACUGUCAGGCUAGAGUGCAGGAGAGGAAGGUAGAAUUCCCGGUGUAGCGGUGAAAUGCGUAGAGAUCGGGAGGAAUACCAGUGGCGAAGGCGGCCUUCUGGACUGACACUGACGCUGAGGUGCGAAAGCGUGGGUAGCAAACAGGAUUAGAUACCCCUGUCGU
rnacentral:rRNA from 1 species